AGUGGAAGAUGGAGCCCCAGGACUUUGCAAAGAAAGACAGGGAAGGCAGUGGAUUCUCCAAGCGGCGCAUUUCCUCAAUUUUAAAGGGACCACGAAAAUCAGCAAGAUUCCCGGAUCCGGAGCAACAGGAAAAUGUGGUUGAAAGUGCCAAGCCGGUGGAAAAGAGGAUUUCAAGAAGAGUCAGUUUUGCUCCUGCCAACGAUGUUCUCCUGUUUUCAAAG